UACCAGCACCCCGAGUGGUCGGGACGAUUAUUGGGCCUAAAGCAUCCGUAGCCGGCCUUACAAGUCCUCCGUUAAAUCCAGCUGCUUAACAGAUGGGCUGCGGAGGAUACUAUAAGACUAGGAGGCAGGAGAGGCAAGCGGUACUCAGUGGGUAGGGGUAAAAUCCUUUUGAUCCAUUGAAGACCACCAGUGGCGAAGGCGGCUUGCCAGAACGCGCUCGGACGGUGAGGGAUGAAAAGCUGGGGGGAGCAAACCGGG
rnacentral:rRNA from 1 species